rnacentral:rRNA from 1 species
AUUGAACGCUGGCGGCAUGCUUUACACAUGCAAGUCGAACGGUAACAGGCCGCAAGGUGCUGACGAGUGGCGAACGGGUGAGUAAUGCAUCGGAACGUGCCCAGUCGUGGGGGAUAACGCAGCGAAAGCUGCGCUAAUACCGCAUACGAUCUAUGGAUGAAAGCGGGGGACCGUAAGGCCUCGCGCGAUUGGAGCGGCCGAUGUCAGAUUAGGUAGUCGGUGGGGUAAAGGCUCACCAAGCCAACGAUCUGUAGCUGGUCUGAGAGGGCGACCAGCCACACUGGGACUGAGACACGGCCCAGACUCCUACGGGAGGCAGCAGUGGGGAAUUUUGGACAAUGGGCGCAAGCCUGAUCCAGCAAUGCCGCGUGCAGGAAGAAGGCCUUCGGGUUGUAAACUGCUUUUGUACGGAACGAAAAGGCUCUGGUUAAUACCUGGGGCUCAUGACGGUACCGUAAGAAUAAGCACCGGCUAACUACGUGCCAGCAGCCGCCGUAAAAC